UACGAAGGGGGCAAGCGUUGUUCGGAAUGACUGGGCGUAAAGGGCGCGUAGGCGGUGCGUUGCGUCAGAUGUGAAAGCCCCGGGCUCAACCUGGGAAUGGCAUUUGAUACGGGCGUACUGGAAUCCGUGAGAGGUUGGUGGAAUUCCCAGUGUAGAGGUGAAAUUCGUAGAUAUUGGGAAGAACACCAGUGGCGAAGGCGGCCAACUGGCACGGUAUUGACGCUGAGGCGCGAAAGCGUGGGGAGCAAACAGG
rnacentral:rRNA from 1 species